UGCAACAAAUUGAAUUGAUAAGCAUUUUAUAUAAAACACUAGUCGCGAAGACAGUAUUCUAGCAGUUACUUUCUUGCGAUUGUUGGAAAAGACAUUUGAAGAAUAAUAAAACCAAUUUUGGAAAUGAGAAUGGAUUUUGCUUGGAGUUACCUCUUGGUUGCACUUAUGGUUGUCAGCUGCUCCGCUCUUCCGCAACUUGACAGAAAUAUGGGCAAUCCCGGGGAGGCGCCAUUGCCAACUCCCGUCGGAACAUGUCCAGAAUAUAGUUACAAUACAGUAUUCCUGUCUGACGCAUAUUACUGUGGAUAUUACCAUCAAUGCUCCAAUGGUGUUCCGAUUCGUAUGAAAUGCCCUAGCGGAUUACACUGGACUGUUACACUGGACACCGACAGCUAUUAUUUUCCAACGUGCGAUCUUCCAAGCCAAUCCAAUUCCAACUGUCGCAAGGACACACCCUUUUAAACAAAAGAUUCAAAUAGUCUAGUCUGAGAUAGUGUCAAACGGAAAUUUGUUUUUUAAUGAUUUGAAAACAUUUAGAUAGAAAUAGAAUCUAGAAGUCUAUUCCAUAUUUCAGCGGUAAUUGAUCUGUCAAUCUCUGCCCAAUAAUAUGUACCUUUAAUCAUUAGAAUUUUCUUGCUUAUCACACAAAUACACAUAUACUUCAGCAAUCUAACAA
rnacentral:lncRNA from 1 species